GGCCUGCGCUGGAAGCAGAAAUUGAGCUCUCCUGCCUGCCUCGAGGAGACCCGCGUCCUACUCCCACCCCAGGUGGGUAUCUGGGAUCCCAGCACACCAGGAGCCAGGCCCCCAAGCUCAGCAAGAAUGAAACCCCCAGGGCCUGUGAACAUGGUCCUCUCAACGCCAUGGCUUGCCUGGCCUGCAUUCGCGCCGGCGCCCCCGCCCUGCCGCUCCGCAGCAAACGGGGCCAUUUCCGGCUCCCCCAGCACGGUCUGGCUUUCCAGCCUAGGGAGUGGCUGGAGGGGGAGCCGCCCCAGAACCCGGGCUGCGCUAUGCUCCGAACCUCAGUGGCCCUGAGCACGUUGUUACCUGAUCUUUUGUGUGAUGUAUGUGUCGCAAGGAAAUUUGCAGUGACUUUGGAGCCCAGACUGAGGAAGCGGAGGUGGCGAAAGGAGAGACAAUACAGGCUCGAAGUACAAUUAAGGGGCCCGAGCCGCUGGUCUCUCCCCCCGCCCUCCCUGCCCGACUGGGAGGUGUCUAGCCUCAAACAUCUCUGGGCGACUCGCAAACCUGGUGCCGGAAACUCAGCCCGUGGCCGAGGGAGCCAGAAGACUCCUCAUCCAGAAAACAGGAGGAAAGACCCUUUCCAACUUGGGGUGCCAUAGCCAGCCCCGCCGAGUUGCAGAGAAUCCAAUGAAUGAAAGUACACAUUCCGACGACGAAUUUCCCCAAAUUUUCUCAGCCUCCGGAAGGAGAGCCCAGGGAUUUGGGAAGUCUCAGACAGACAGGCAAGCCGUGUCUCCCAAGGCAGACAGACUCACAACAUGAGUGUGAGGCUGAAAUCACACACAGGUUCAACAUCCCAAGGCCUCCUACCCAGGCCCGGCGGA